rnacentral:rRNA from 1 species
AUUGAACGCUGGCGGCAGGCCUAACACAUGCAAGUCGAACGAGUGGCGGACGGGUGAGUAAUGUCUGGGAAACUGCCUGAUGGAGGGGGAUAACUACUGGAAACGGUAGCUAAUACCGCAUACCAUCGGAUGUGCCCAGAUGGGAUUAGCUAGUAGGUGGGGUAAAGGCUCACCUAGGCGACGAUCCCUAGCUGGUCUGAGAGGAUGACAGGCCACACUGGAACUGAGACAGGGCCCAGACUCCUACGGGGGGAAGCAGUGGGGAAUAUUGCACAAUGGGCGCAAGCCUGAUGCAGCCAGGCCGCGUGUAGAAAGAGGGCCUUCGGGUUGUAAAGUACUUUCAGCGGGGAGACGUUACCCGCAGAAGAGGCCCCGCCUAACUCCGUGCAGCCGCCGCGGUAAUUC